AGGGGGAGAUACUCGCGGCCUCAGAACAUAAUAAAAACAUGGCGGUGUAGAACUAGACGGUAAAGUUCCCCAAACUGCAGACAAUUUUGCCAAGAGGAGCAACAAUCCAGGGGGAAAAGUAAAUGAUACAAUAGCCACAAAUCUCAUAUAUCAGCCCCCAUUUGUCUGUCACAUUUAUUCACAGGAAAAACACCACAUGAACUUGAAAUAGAUGUACUGAGCAGAAGCAGUAUAAGUUUAUAGGGUUGGAAUUUAGGGGACUGAGGGGAUAAUAAUGGCAAAUGGAGGCGCUACUAGGAGGAGUGUGAGUUACUUUGCUGCACACACACAGCCCUCAGCUCCUCACACUCCAUUCCAGGAGAACACAAGGGCUGGCAGCAUCACGUGACCUGUCAUUCCUUUCCUUCCCCCCUCGUGUUCUCCACCAGUAGGCGGGGUUAGGAGUAGAGGAAGUCACGUGUCACAAUUCGCUUCACCUUGGAGACGGCGGUGCGAUGGAGGUGACCGGAGAGUCACGUGUCUCUGCGCCGUGACGUAGGGCCUUGUCAUUGGUUGGCGGCUGGACAGACUGAGCAGUGGGAGCUGCGGGAGGGAGUUGGACAGAGGCGCCUUUGGAAUCAUGGGGGGAGCUGACAUCCGACCGGAGCACUUGUGUCUGUCCCGCCAGCACUGACCGACAGUAACGGAACACUGCUCCUCCGAGUAGAAAAUUCCACUGGAUCCUCGCCACCUUUACACUGUCACCCAGUUAGAAGGUCCCUUCCCCAGGACUUUUGCCUCCGCCGCUUCCUGCAACUGCCACCGGUUUGUUAGUUUGUUGCUGUAAACAUCCCCGACUGGAAGCUGUGAGGCUGCACCUUAGCUUUCAGUCUGGUGUUUGCUGCUACCGGCUACACACAAAUCUUCCCUCGCUUUAUGUGUGAUUCAUUUGUGUAUAUGUGUGUGUGUGAAUUUGUCUACAUGUAUUAGACAAACCAUGUGUAACUCCAGUUGUUGCUGAAACAGCAUUCCCAAUAUCAUUUAAGUAUUGAAUGAGCAUGUGAUUUAAUCGUUUGCUGCUUGUGCCCAAAAAAAAAGUACAUUUACGUGUUUUACUCUUAUCUUGUGAUGCUGUAUAGAAUAACUCCAGACUAAGUUGCAUUCACACCCUCACAAAAGGCAGGUCCAAACUUCUCCUGCUUCAUAUCUUUAGGCCAUGCUUCUAUUGCUUACGUAGCUCCUCUAUGGAAUCCUCCUCCGGCAUUUCUCCUUACUGGGAUUCCUUAUAUCAUCUUUUUAGGAGACAGGCAGACAUGACAGUUUAAAGGGGUUGUUCACCUUUAAAUUAACUGUUAGUAUGAUGUAGAGACUGAUGUUCCGAGACAAUUUGCAAUUGGUUUUCAUUUUUUGUUAUUU